CGUUAGCCUCUGAUGCAGCACACCUGGGAGAGCAGACCAAGUGAGCUUCUCCAUGCACAAGCGUUCCUGUACGGUUGCAUUGGUUUGUUGUUUUGGACGGUGUUACAAUCUAGACCACAUCUGCACCAUUUUUCAUCCUGAUGAAUAAAACAUAAGCUGCCUACAGUGUGGAGUGGGGGAGCGAGCCAAAGCUAGAAGAAGCCACAACCACCAGCUUUGCAGGAAGACGUCAUGUGGGUGAUAAAGAGGCCCUUCAUGCAGAAACAGGAGGCUCCUCUCUGUGAUACGCCCCCCAAGAUAGACUCAAACACUGUUCAGUCUGCAGGAAUGUGAACCAGCGAUCGACACAGUGAGUCAGCACCCGGCAGAUGUAACACAAGUCAGGCUGCGGCUUUUAUCUGCGUAUGCAGGAAGAACUCUCCGGCACACAGCAAAGCAGCACCGAGAUAUAAUAUGUUUUUUAAGGAAAAAAUGACAUGACCUCUCUCUUCAGUUCAGGCUGUCAUACAUCUGUCUAAAUCUGCCUUUUAGCCAAACUAGUAAAGUUACUCUGAGGCCACAUUGGAGGAGUUUCAAACACUGCAGAUUGACUGAGUUCAGCCGAGCAGAGCACUAAUGUUGACAAGUAGAUUAGCUAGUGUUGACUGUAAACAGAACAAUCCUCAUCGCUGAUCCCUCUGACAGUAAAAGGCAGCACUUUCCUAUAAUGAGGUUCAGUCACAUGUUAUUAAAUUACAAACUGGAUUAGUCAUGUGGUCCUGAUGUCAAACAAGUUGAUCUUUGUGGGCGGAACUUUGUUCGAACACUGGCACCAAAUUUGCCAGGAUGUUUGUUCCAUCAUGUUCAUUUAAAAACAUAAAAACUUACACUAAAUAAUUUAAAUGAUGAAAGUACAUUUGUUUAUUGUCCAUCAAACCUCCAUGUGGUUUGCACGUUGAUGAGGUAAUGUGGUAAACACUUGAACUCCAUCAAGGUGAGAAAUACAGCUUGGUUCUGCUCGCCCUGUCAGGAUUGUAAUCUGCAUUAUCACCUGCUCCCUCUACAUUAUCCCUGACAUAGAAAACUGUACACUAUUGUUGUAUUUUCACCGUUAAUUUACAGUAAAUGGCAUCUUGGCUGACUGACAACACUAUCUUUUCAAAAUGGCUUCCAGAAUAUAAUUUUGUUUCCGUUGCCGCAUCCCAUACUCAGUUGUCAAUUUUGUAGAUUUUUCCAUAGUAGUUAACUUUUUUUGCUGUCUCUAACCUCUCCUGCCUUUUCUCUGCUCAUUCGUUUAUCUUCUUUAUUUUUCACCUGAGUCUGUGAUGAGAGCCGCAUUCCAUCGAGACAUUAGACACUGUUGCUACAAAUUGUCCCUUUGUCCAAUCAGAGUAAAGAAAUGAACCCA